GUGCUUGCUUUGGCAGCACAUAUACUAAAGUUGGAACGAUACAGAGAAGAUUAGCAUGGCCCCUGUGCAAGGAUAACUCGCAAAUUCAUUAGCCCUUCCAUAUUUUU
ensembl:snRNA U6 U6 spliceosomal RNA